rnacentral:lncRNA from 1 species
AAUGGAUGUGGCUCUUAGAAUGCACUUGAAAUUCUUCUUCCUCUUCAUGGUGUCUUUGUGGCCAGAUGUCUUGGAAGGCCCAGGAAUGAAGGCGCCUCUGGAUAAAGUGGCCAUCCUGCUUCUGAGAGCAUGGGGGACCCAGGGCCUGGAACGUGAAAGCCAUAAACUGUCCUCCAUUCAGAGCAAAGCAAUGCUCCCUCCAUUGCUUCUAAGUUCCCAGCCCCAGUUCUGGAUGAGAAAAUGGAGAGCAGCCUCAGUAGUCACUUUCCUUCAACUUCAAGGCUGCCAUGAGAUGGUCACCACCUCAUGACCAGGAAGGAGCAUGCUGCUUUGGUAGACUACACAUACCUCCCUGUGGCAGCCAGGCCCCCACCACCCAUUCUCAUCAUUCCACACAAACGUGAGCCCCUACCAUGAACAAGAUGUUGCAUGGAGCACUGGCAGAAGCAGAGUGAGUUGAAGGUGGCUUCCUCCCAGGACUGCAUGGUCACAGACCCCAGCACCAGCAAAGUAUGGUCAUCAGGACCACAGGAAGGGCCAGAGAUGGGCUAUGGGGCACUGGGGUCAGGAAGAGUGCCCCAUCUUCCUGAAGGGUGAUACUGGACCUGGUCCUUGGAGAAUAAGAAAGAUCUGAUGAAGCAAAACCCUGGAAGGAGGGUAUCCAAGAUGAAGAGAAAGUAUGAGGUGCAGUCUGGAGGCAGGAAAGAUGGGCUGCAUCGGAAUCACACCAGGUAGAAUGGUUGGUUGGUUGAAUUGGGAGGUGGAGCUGGAGAGGUAUGUAGGGCAGAUGGCAAAAGGCCUUAAAUUCAGGCCAAGGAGAGUGGACUUGAUUAUGGAGGCAACAGAGACUGAGGGACAAGAGCUGGGAUUGGAAAGAGGCCCCAAGCAUAUAUGAAGCUCCCCUACUCAUGCCUGCCCCACACCUUUUCAUGGGAUGUUGUACAGCACACUCCCAGAUUUGGAAAGCCCCAUCUAUAAAUCUUUCAGUCCCAGGAUCACUCCUUUCUACAGUGGCUUCAGCAGCAAUGACAGAGUCAAGAGAGGUCACCCUUUAGGUUUCUCAACACAGUUGCCCUUCCCCUCUGGAAAAACUACAUCACGGUGGAAUGGGAGAGGUGGAGAUGAAGGCUAAACACAAGAAAGAGGUUAACUACUCAUAGAGUGUCAGACGAAAUAACCUGAAAGUUCUCUGCUACAAAACACUCAGAAAUGCUGGUAAGAAAAUUUUCAGUCAUUUUAAAUGUACAGCUAAGCUUACAGGAACAUGAGAGCAUUUUCCUUCUUUUUUUAAAAAAAUAGACUUGGGGGUACAAGUGUUGUUUUGUUACAUGGAUACAUUGGAUAGUGUAGUCUGGGCUUUUAGUGUAGUCAUCACUCAAAUAUUGUCCGCUGUACCCAUUAAAGAAUUUCUCUUCCUUUACCCCCCUCCCACCCUUCCAACUCUCCAAUGUCUGUCACUCCACAGUGAGGGCAUUUUCAAGGUCAAAAUGAAGGGAGAGCUGAGCACUGGAGCAGGUAGAAGGCUGCAGCUGCCUUGCAGAGUUUACAGCAGGAGAUGUCAGGGCAACAGUGGAACUGCGAGGUUGCUUCCAAGCAGGAGGACAGCCUGGGAAGGACUGUGCUGGGAGGCCCUCUGAGAGUCUCACUCUGUGAGUGACUCUGAGUCCCUGGCUGCCCUCUGCAUACAGUGCUUGGAAAAGCCACGCAUAUUUUGUCUAAAGAAACCACUGGUAAGGUGGACGAACCCGACUUGGCUUACCUCUAACAUCCCACAUCACUUCUGCUCUUCUCUGAGUCUUAAUUUUAUCAUAUUUUAACUGGAAAUGGUGUCACCACAAUAGACCUCACAGGACUGCUGGAAGAACUUGUUCAGUAUUCAACUAAUAUGUAUUAAGCAAGGAGCGUGACAAGUGCUGGGAUAUGGAGUUGAACAGGAAAAAAUCCCUGCCUGCAAGGAGCUUACGUUCUGGUGCAUAAACAGACACUCUAUAAACAAUGUGGACAUGAAGUGGCAGAGAUCAGCACUAGGUAGAGAGGAAGGAGCUCCCCCAAGCCUUGGCCAGGAGGGUUGGCAGGCCCUGGGGGGAGGUGGUGUUUGAACUGAGUCAUGAGGGAUGGAUAAAUAGAAAUCUUUCACAAGAAGUGGGCAGGGCAUUCCAGGAAUGAGCUAGAAAGCCCAGAGUCCAAAGCAGCAUGACAUGUACAAAAACUACACAUGGCACAGGUAAAAUGUGGGUGGGAUGCGGAGACAGAAAAGGGUCAAUAGGGACACAGCUCACAUGAUUGGAAGAUGAGACCCUGGAUAGACUCCAGUAAAACUUAUGUGAAUUUCAGAGAACUCCUCCCUCCUUGCAAUAAUUCACAAUCCUAUUCCCACCACCAUGACACCCAGUGGUAUCCUCAGAGUAGGAGUCAGCUUACUGCUUGGACUUAACCUACCUUCCCCAGAAAGCAGAGCUUGAGGCAGAGGGCUUUUGAGCUGCCAUAGAUGAUCCUCAACUUACCAUGGUUUAACUUAUGACUUUUCAACUUUAUGAUGGUGCAAGAGUGAUACACAUUCAGUAGAAACCGUAGUUCAAGAGCCCAUACAACCAUUCUGAUUUUCACUUGCAGUACAGUGUUCAAUAAGUCACAUGAGAUAUUUAACACUUUAUUAUAAAAUAGGCUUUGUGUUAGAUGAUUUUGCCUGACUGUGGGCUAAUGGAAGUGGUUUGAGCACAUUUGAGGUAGGCUAGAGUAAGCUAUGUUGUUCAGUAGGUUAGGUGUAUUAAAUGCAUUUUCAACUUAUGAUAUUUUCAGUUUUCAAUGGGUUUAUUGGGACAUAACCACAUCAUAAGCCAAGAAGCAUCUGUAUUUUACUAGGGAGCAGGAGUGAGGAACAAGGAGAGCGAAGCAGGCAAGAGGGAGGAUACAAGGAUAUAUGAUGGAGACGGCCACUGCUAAAUGCACCUCAUUAUUCAACCUCAUGGAAAUGUCCCCCGAGAAACCAUGCAAUCUGUGUCUCAGGUAGGGUGACCAACCAUCCUGGUUUUCUCAAGAUGGGGGGAUUUUUCCAGGAUGUGGAACUUUCAGUGCCAAACCCAGGAAGGUCCUGGGAAAACGAGAAUGAGCUUGUUCCGUAGAAUCAGGACCACUGGAUUUGAGGAUAGAAAAAUGGAAAGAUAGGGAAGGUAACAGUUGAUGGUCUUGAUUGCUUUAUGAAGUGCGACAUACAGAGAUGGGUGUGGGAAACUAAAAAUGGGGUAUGAAUAGUUGAAAGAAGUGGAAGGAUGAGUAAAAAGAUGCCCUAGUGGCACUAACAGCCUGGCUAAAAUUGAAGACCUUGAAUUGUUGCUGAAUAGUAUUGAUUUAUUCAGUCAUUCAUUCACCCAUUUUGAGUCAUGUCCGUGAUUGUUGGUUACCAUGGGAACAUUGAUCAGUGAUGUAAUUUUGGCCAUACCAAUACAUGUCAGAGUCUCAUGGAAGUUCAGAGCUCCACGCUGUCAACCAGGGUCAUGACUCCAUCAUGGCCACACCAUUUACGUUACUGAAUGUUCUCAUUCUCUACCACAGCUGCCACUACCGAGUGGAUGCUGAUGCUUCCGAAAUCUCUAGCCCCAGUCCAAACCUUUUCCUGGGCAUCAGACCUACAAACACCCAACAGGCACCUCAGUCUCAACAUCUCCAAACCCAUAUUCAUCAUCUUACCCCCAAAACCUGCUCCAGCAAGGGAGUGGACUUUCCCAGACAGUCUGUGUAUAUGAGGAUACCAAGUUACCUUCUCACUAUCUACUUCCUUGCUUGGUUCUGAAAAUGCCAUCUCCAAAGGCUUCCCCAUGGUUUGAGGAAUCAUGACUUUCAGGGGAUACAUGUGGGACAAUCUGGAGGAAAAGUGUUUGAGGCAGAGAAAACAGCUAGUGCUAAAGCCUUAAGGCAGGAAAAAAGUGUGUUUCAGGGAUGUAAAGAAGGUCAGUCUAACUGAGCUUGGUAGACAAGGAAGAGUCUGGUUCAAAGGGAAGCUGGAGAAGUAAACAGGAGCUAGAUCACAUGGAGCACUGUAGGUCAAGUGAAGGAGAUUAGACUUUCUUCUUGGAGCACUGCAAAAUCAUUUAAGGGUUAUAAACAGAAGAGCUGGUGCAUUAGCCAGGGUUCUCCAGAGAGACAGAACCCUUAAGAUAUAUAUAAAUGUAGAGAAAAAGAUUCAUCAUGAGGAAUUGGCUUAUGUGAUUAUCUGCUAUCUGCAAGCUGAAGGCCCAGGAAAGCCAGUGGUGUAGUUCUUAUCCAAGCCCAAAGGCCUGAGAAUCAGGAGUGCUGAUGUCCGAGAAUAAAAGAAGAUGGAUGUUCCAGCUCCAGAGAAGAGAGAAUGUACCCUUCCUCGACAUUUUUUGUUCUUUUCCAGUCCUCAAUGGACUGGGUGAUGCCCAUGCAUGUUGGGGAGGGUGGAGCUUCUUUACUGCCUGCUGAUUCAAAUGCUAAUGUCUUCUGGAAACACGUGCACAGACAUACUCAGAAAUAAUGUUUUGCCAGCUAUCUGGGUAUGCCUUAGCCCAGUGAAGCUGGCACACAAAAUUAACCAUCACAGUACGCAUGAUUUGAUUUAUACUUUUAAAUACACCUUUAAAUUUGAUUUCCACCCUGGCUGCUGAGUGGACAAUAGAAAGUACAGGAACAAGACAAAUAGGACAUAGGCAGGGAGACCAAUUAAGGGAGACCAGGAGAUAGGCAGGGAGACCAGACUGCAGUAAUCUAGGUGAGAGUUGAUGUUGGAUGGGACUAAGACGUAAUUGUGAUGAUGAAGAGAAGUUUCAGAUUCUUGAUUAGUUCUAGGGGGGACGUUCAACAGGACUUAAGUAUAAGGCAUGAGGAAAUAAAUCAAAGAUGUGUCCAAGGUUUUAGGCCUGAUCAUCUGUGUGAAUGUGUGUUAUUUACUGGGAUGGGGAAGACCUGGGGGAGGAACAUGUUUGGAGGUGAAAGGAAAAGCAAGAGUUUGAUUUGGGACAAAGCAAGUCUGAGACACCUAUUAGACAUCCAAGUAGAGGUAUAAAAUAUAAGGUUGGAUAUAUAUGAGUGUGAGCUAGACAGAGCUGUAUGUAGUUUUGGGAGGCACUGCAGCAUAUUCAAAGCCUUGGGCCAGAGGAGCUCAGGAGCUCACCAGGGAGAAGAUGGAUCUAAAGAAGGAGAUCUAUGGCCAAGACUUGCAGCACUAUGACAUUUAGAAAUCAAGCAGCAAAUGUGCAGGGCUGCUAAGGAGACUACAAAGGGACAACUAAAAAGAUAUGAUAUUCUAGAAGCCAAGAGAAGAAAGCAGUUCAAGAAGGGUGUGGCCAACUCUAUCAACCAUAUAAUACGCUGCUGAGAGAUCAAAUAAGGACAGAGAAGUGACCACUGGAGGUCAUCAGCAGCCUCGUGAAAAACAGUCUCAGUGGGGUGGAAGAAAGAGAGGACCCAUAGCACAGGGCUGAGCAGAGAAUCAAAGGUGAGGAAGUAGACACAGGAGACAACUCCCUGAAAAGGGCUUCUGUGAGGGACAGCAGAGAACUAGAUCAGCUACAGGAAAAGGUAGGGUAAGGAAAAGGCUCUGCAAACCCUGGAGAUACUGGAACAGGUCUGCAUUUUGGGGGAAUGAUCUGAGUGGAAAGAAAGAACCUAGAGAUGCAGCAGAGAUAGGAGAAUUGCAGAAGCAAAGUCCUCUAAAAAACCAAGAGGCCAGAGGAUUAAGCUUACAAGCGAAGAGGGUUUCUCUUGGUAAAAGCAAAGAUACUUUAUCCACAGCAAUAUGAAGACACGAAGGAAAUAUUAACACAAAUUCAGAUGAAUUGGGAGGUAUGCUGGGAAGAUAAAGGUCCUCCUUUAUCAAGGACACAGCCAAACCAUAUCAAGGAGGACCUAUAUAACUGCUUCUAUUUUUUCAGUGAAAUAUGAGAUGAGGUCAUCAGGUAAGAAUGAGGGAAGAUAACAAGGUGGAUGGCCCUUCCUGACAGAUAAGAGGCCCCAGUAAGUGAGGGAGGCAAGGGAGGCAGGAGGUAAAAAUGUGAAAUAGUUGUUUUGAAGACUGGGAAGUGGAACACAUAGUGAAGGGUAGGAUUGCUGAGCAGGGCUGAGUGCUCAUUUGAGAUCUGUGGUCAUGAAUUUAAAGCAAGACCAGUUGGUCUAGAUAUAUGUUUUUCUCUCAUGACGUUUACCGGCUUGAGUUCAGGUAUGUAGUAGUCAGAUGUGUAGGCUUAAGCUGAGAGCAAAUAUGAAGGAAGAAGAGUGGAAUACAGGAAUUAGAAUACUUGAAAUAGAGUAGUUAUGAUGAUGAACCACAGAAAUUUAGCUGGUUAAGGAAGGAAGUGAGAACCUGAGGGAAAUGACAGAUAGUGGGAAAAGUGGAAGGGCCAGUGUAUUGGAAGUCUUGAUGAGGUGGAUUGGAAAUACUGCCCCAAGGGAGCUGGGAUGAAAGGAGGUAGCAGGCAGAGAAUGUAGGUUUUUGGUGAUGGUAUGGUCAUGGACAUGACAAAGGUAAUGAGUGGCUGGAAUGGAACAGAUCAAAAGAGUAAAUUAAAAAGAAGAUGUAUUAGUCUGUUCUCACAAUGCUAACAAAGA